rnacentral:RNase_P_RNA from 1 species
CGAGUCGGCCGGACAAUCGCCGCCUGAUAUAAGUUUACUUAGAUYGGGGAGAGGAAAGUCCGGGCUCCAUAGGGCAGAGURCCAGGUAACUCCUGGGGGGCGUGAGCCUACGGAAAGUGCAGCAGAAAAUAAACCGCCUGGUGAUUCUUUGAAUUACUYGGUAAGGGUGAAAUGGUGCGGUAAGAGCGCACCGCGCGAGUGGUAACACUUCGUGGCAUGGUAAACCCCACUCGGAGCAAGACCAAAUAGGAAUCCAUUGGCGUGGCCCGCGUUGGAUUCGGGUAGGUUGCUUGAAACAUGUGGUGACGCAUGUUCUAGAUGAAUGAUUGUCCUCGACAAAACCCGGCUUAYAGGCCGGCUCGCUCU